rnacentral:rRNA from 1 species
UGGGGAAUUUUGCGCAAUGGGCGAAAGCCUGACGCAGCGACGCCGCGUGGGUGAUGAAGGCCCUCGGGUUGUAAAGCCCUGUGGGGAGGGAAGAAUAAGGAAUGGAUAAUACCCGUUCUGAUGACGGUACCUCCUUAGCAAGCACCGGCUAACUCUGUGCCAGCAGCCGCGGUAAGACAGAGGGUGCAAACGUUGUUCGGAAUUACUGGGCGUAAAGCGCGUGUAGGCGGCCUGGCAAGUCGGGUGUGAAAGCCCUUGGCUCAACUGAGGAAGAGCACUCGAAACUGCCAGGCUUGAGUCCCGGAGAGGAUGGUGGAAUUCUCGGUGUAGAGGUGAAAUUCGUAGAUAUCGAGAGGAACACCAGUGGCGAAGGCGACCAUCUGGACGGUGACUGACGCUGAGAUGCGAAAGCAUGGGGAGCAAACAGG